rnacentral:rRNA from 1 species
AUACGUAGGGGGCGAGCGUUGUCCGGAAUGAUUGGGCGUAAAGGGCGCGUAGGCGGCGCGGUAAGUCUGGAGUGAAGGUCCUGCUUUCAAGGUGGGAAUUGCUUUGGAUACUGCCGCGCUUGAGUGCAGGAGAGGUUAUCGGAAUUCCCGGUGUAGCGGUGAAAUGCGUAGAGAUCGGGAGGAACACCAGUGGCGAAGGCGCAUUACCGGGCAGUAACUGGAGCUGUGGCGCGAAAGCGUAGGGAGCGAACCGGAUUAGAUACCCGGGGAGUCCACGCGGUAAACGAUGAUUGCUAGGUGUUGCGGGUAUCGACCCCUGCAGUGCCGUAGUAAACACAAUAAGCAUUCCGCCUGGGGAGUAAGGCCGCAAGGUUGAAACUCAAAUGAAUUGACGGGG